UUAGGGUAACUUAGUUCAUUAAUCAGUUGUACUGGGUCUAGAUGGUCAGAGAUUCUGUUAAUUAGAACUGUCCGAAAACACGAAAGACA